CAGUCGCCACGGUAAUACGUAGGUGGCAAGCGUUGUCCGGAAUUAUUGGGCGUAAAGCGCGCGCAGGCGGCCUAUCCAGUCUGUCUUAAAAGUUCGGGGCUCAACCCCGUGAUGGGAUGGAAACUAGUAGGCUAGAGUAUCGGAGAGGAAAGCGGAAUUCCUAGUGUAGCGGUGAAAUGCAUAGAUAUUAGGAAGAACACCAGUGGCGAAGGCGGCUUUCUGGACGAAAACUGACGCCGAGGCGCGAAAGCCAGGGGAGCGAACGGGAUUAGAUACCCCUGUAGUCCCUGUCUCUUAUACA
rnacentral:rRNA from 1 species